GAUGAACGCUAGCGGGAGGCCUAACACAUGCAAGCCGAGCGGUAGAGUCUCUUCGGAGACUUGAGAGCGGCGCACGGGUGCGGAACACGUGUGCAACCUGCCUUUAUCUGGGGGAUAGCCUUUCGAAAGGAAGAUUAAUACCCCAUAAUAUACUGGAUGGCAUCAUCUGGUAUUGAAAACUCCGGUGGAUAGAGAUGGGCACGCGCAAGAUUAGAUAGUUGGUGAGGUAACGGCUCACCAAGUCAGCGAUCUUUAGGGGGCCUGAGGGGGUGAUCCCCCACACUGGUACUGAGACACGGACCAGACUCCUACGGGAGGCAGCAGUGAGGAAUAUUGGACAAUGGGUGAGAGCCUGAUCCAGCCAUCCCGCGUGAAGGACGACGGCCCUAUGGGUUGUAAACUUCUUUUGUAUAGGGAUAAACCUAGAUACGUGUAUCUAGCUGAAGGUACUAUACGAAUAAGCACCGGCUAACUCCGUG
rnacentral:rRNA from 1 species